CAUCCAACGCGUUGGGAGCUCUCCCAUAUGGUCGACCUGCAGGCGGCCGCGAAUUCACUAGUGAUUAGAGUUUGAUCCUGGCUCAGAGUGAACGCUGGCGGCAGGCCUAACACAUGCAAGUCGAACGGCAGCACAGCCUCGCAAGAGGUGGGUGGCGAGUGGCGGACGGGUGAGGAAUACAUCGGAAUCUACCUUGUCGUGGGGGAUAACGUAGGGAAACUUACGCUAAUACCGCAUACGAACCAUGGUUGAAAGCGGCGGACCGCAAGGCGUCGCGCGAUUGGAUGAGCCGAUGUCCGAUUAGCUAGUUGGCGGGGUAAGAGCCCACCAAGGCGACGAUCGGUAGCUGGUCUGAGAGGAUGAUCAGCCACACUGGAACUGAGACACGGUCCAGACUCCUACGGGAGGCAGCAGUGGGGAAUAUUGGACAAUGGGCGCAAGCCUGAUCCAGCCAUGCCGCGUGUGUGAAGAAGGCCUUCGGGCUGUAAAGCACUUUGUUGCGGAAGAAAAGCUUCCGGAUAAUACCUCGGAGGUCUG
rnacentral:rRNA from 1 species